rnacentral:rRNA from 1 species
CCUACGGGUGGCAGCAGUGAGGAAUAUUGGUCAAUGGGCGAGAGCCUGAACCAGCCAAGUCGCGUGAAGGAUGACGGCCCUACGGGUUGUAAACUUCUUUUGUCCGGGAGCAAUGGCGUCCACGUGUCGUCUUAGCGAGAGUACCUGCAGAAAAAGCACCGGCUAAUUCCGUGCCAGCAGCCGCGGUAAUACGGAGGUUGCGAGCUUUAUCCGGAUUUAUUGGGUUUAAAGGGUGCGAAGGCGGAAUUUAAAGUCAGCGGUAAAAAUUCGGGGCUCAACCCCGUCGUGCAGUUGAAACUGGUGGCCGUGAGUGGGCGAGAAGUAGGCGGAAUGCGUGGUGUAGCGGUGAAAUGCAUAGAUAUCACGAAGAACCCCGAUUGCGAAGGCAGCUUACCGGCGCCCAACUGACGCUGAGGCACGAAAGCGUGGGGAUCGAACAGGAUUAGAUACCCGUGUAGUC